GACGAACGCUGGCGGCGUGCUUAACACAUGCAAGUCGAACGAGUGGCGAACGGGUGAGUAAUACGUGAGUAACCUGCCCUCUUUUUGGGAUAAGCCUUGGAAACGGGGUCUAAUACCGGAAAAAGGGGGAUGGGCUCGCGGCCUAUCAGCUUGUUGGUGGGGUGAUGGCCUACCAAGGCGGUGACGGGUAGCCGGCCUGAGAGGGUGAACGGCAACAUGGGGACGGAGAUACGGCCCAGAGUCCGACGCGGGGGAGCAGUGGGGGAUAUUGCACAAUGGGUGAAAGACUGAUGCCGCGACGCCGCGUAGGGGAUGAAGGCUUUCGGGUUGUAAACCUCUUUCGGUAUCGAAGGGGUAGGUGGAGAAGAAGCGCCGGCUAACUACGUGCCAGCAGCCGCGGUAAUUC
rnacentral:rRNA from 1 species